AUCAACUUUCGAUGGUAGGAUAGAGGCCUACCAUGGUGGUAACGGGUAACGGGGUGUUAGGGCACGACACCGGAGAGGGAGCCUGAGAAACGGCUACCACAUCCAGGGAUGGCAGCAGGCGCGCAAAUUACCCAAUCCCGACACGGGGAGGUAGCGACAAUAAAUAACAAUACGGGGUUCUUUCGGAUCUCGUAAUUGGAAUGAGUACAAUUUAAAUCUCUUAACGAGGAACAAUUGGAGGGCAAGUCUGGUGCCAGCAGCCGCGGUAAUUCCAGCUCCAAUAGCGUAUAUUAAAGUUGUUGCAGUUAAAAAGCUCGUAGUUGAAUUUCGGGGUUAGUAGGUUGGUCAUGCCUCUGGUAUGUACUGGUCUCACUGAUUCCUCCUUCCUUAUGAACCGUAAUGCCAUUAAUUUGGUGUUGCGGGGAAUUUGGACUGUUACUUUGAAAAAAUUAGAGUGUUUAAAGCAGGCUAACGCUUGAAUACAUUAGCAUGGAAUAAUGAAAUAGGACGUUCGAUCUUAUUUUGUUGGUUUCUAGGAUUGACGUAAUGAUUAAUAGGGAUAGUUGGGGGCAUUAGUAUUCAAUUGUCAGAGGUGAAAUUCUUGGAUUUAUUGAAGACUAACUACUGCGAAAGCAUUUGCCAAGGAUGUUUUCAUUAAUCAAGAACGAAAGUUAGGGGAUCAAAGACGAUCAGAUACCGUCGUAGUCUUAACCAUAAACUAUGCCGACUAGGGAUCGGAUGAUGUUAAUUUUUUAAUGACUCAUUCGGCGCCUUACGGGAAACCAAAGUGUUUGGGUUC
rnacentral:rRNA from 1 species